CAUGCAAGUCGAGCGGUAGCACAGAGAGCUUGCUCUCGGGUGACGAGCGGCGGACGGGUGAGUAAUGUCUGGGAAACUGCCUGAUGGAGGGGGAUAACUACUGGAAACGGUAGCUAAUACCGCAUAACGUCGCAAGACCAAAGUGGGGGACCUUCGGGCCUCAUGCCAUCAGAUGUGCCCAGAUGGGAUUAGCUAGUAGGUGGGGUAAUGGCUCACCUAGGCGACGAUCCCUAGCUGGUCUGAGAGGAUGACCAGCCACACUGGAACUGAGACACGGUCCAGACUCCUACGGGAGGCAGCAGUGGGGAAUAUUGCACAAUGGGCGCAAGCCUGAUGCAGCCAUGCCGCGUGUGUGAAGAAGGCCUUCGGGUUGUAAAGCACUUUCAGCGGGGAGGAAGGCGUUAAGGUUAAUAACCUUGGCGAUUGACGUUACCCGCAGAAGAAGCACCGGCUAACUCCGUGCCAGCAGCCGCGGUAAUACGGAGGGUGCAAGCGUUAAUCGGAAUUACUGGGCGUAAAGCGCACGCAGGCGGUCUGUCAAGUCGGAUGUGAAAUCCCCGGGCU
rnacentral:rRNA from 1 species